GGAGAGCUGGAGGCCAGGAAGCGGGUUAGCUGGAGUGGAGGUGGAGGUGGUGCUGGCUCUGAGCCCCGAGUUUUCUCCUGUUUGUGGCGUCCCCGCUGGCUCGCUCGCAUCUCAGGACAAGCGGACGCCCCACGGCAAUCCCACCCGGCCGCAGUGAGGAGGAGCCCACCAGUCCCCGGCAGCCCUCCCGAGGGUCCUCGGCAGGUACGAGGAGACACGUAACUUCUGGAAAACCCUUCUUGGACAGUGCAGCGGCUUCCACAUCUAAGUUCCCAUCCUUGAAAUGGAGCCAGCGGAGCCAGCCUUUCCUAGUCUCCGGGGCUGUCCAGAACUGAGAAAGUGAUGCAGUGUAUGAAAAACUGCUUUGACGGGAAAUAAAGUCCUGUGUUUUGUAAGAUGUCAAUGACUUGAGAGCCACAUUAAAUGCUUUGCAAUAAAAUAGAGAUUUAGAUGAAUGAGUAAAAA